rnacentral:rRNA from 1 species
GACGAACGCUGGCGGCGUGCUUAACACAUGCAAGUCGAACGGAAAGGCCCUGCUUUUGUGGGGUGCUCGAGUGGCGAACGGGUGAGUAACACGUGAGUAACCUGCCCUUGACUUUGGGAUAACUUCAGGAAACUGGGGCUACUACCGGAUAGGAGCUCCUGCUGCAUGGUGGGGGUUGGAAAGUUUCGGCGGUUGGGGAUGGACGCGCGGCUUAUCAGCUUGUUGGUGGGGUAGUGGCUUACCAAGGCUUUGAAGGGUAGCCGGCCUGAGAGGGUGACCGGCCACAUUGGGACUGUGAUACGGCCCAGAGUCGUACGGGAGGCAGCAGGGGGGAAUAUGGCACAAUGGGCGGAAGCCUGAGGAAGAAACGCCGCGGGCGGGAUGACGGCCUUCGGGUUGUAAACAGCUGUCGGCUGAGACGAAGCGUGAGUGACGGUAAUGGGUAAAGAAGCACCGGCUAACUACGUG